rnacentral:rRNA from 1 species
UACGAACUGUGCAAGCGUUAUUCGGAAUCACUGGGCUUAAAGGGUGCGUAGGCGGCUUAUCAAGUAGGGUGUGAAAGCCCCCGGCUUAACCGGGGAAUUGCGCCCUAAACUGACGAGCUGGAGUGGGACAGGGGUGUGUGGAACUUCCGGUGGAGCGGUGAAAUGUGUUGAUAUCGGAAGGAACGCCGGUGGCGAAAGCGACACACUGGGUCUCAACUGACGCUGAGGCACGAAAGCCAGGGGAGCGAGCGGG